rnacentral:rRNA from 1 species
ACGCUCGACACCUACGGGAGGCCAGCAGUGGGGAAUAUUGCACAAUGGGGGAAACCCUGAUGCAGCAACGCCGCGUGAAGGAAGACGGUUUUCGGAUUGUAAACUUCUGUUCUUAGUGAAGAUAGUGACGGUAGCUAAGGAGCAAGCCACGGCUAACUACGUGCCAGCAGCCACGGUAAUCUGAGCGGGCUGGCAAGGC